rnacentral:rRNA from 1 species
AGUGAACGCUGGCGGUAGGCCUAACACAUGCAAGUCGAACGGCAGCACAGUAAGAGCUUGCUCUUACGGGUGGCGGGUGGCGGACGGGUGAGGAAUACAUCGGAAUCUACUUUUUCGUGGGGGAUAACGUAGGGAAACUUACGCUAAUACCGCAUACGACCUACGGGUGAAAGCAGGGGAUCUUCGCACCUUGCGCGAUUGAAUGAGCCGAUGUCGGAUUAGCUAGUUGGCGGGGUAAAGGCCCACCAAGGCGACGAUCCGUAGCUGGUCUGAGAGGAUGGUCAGCCACACUGGAACUGAGACACGGUCAAGACUCCUACGGGAGGCAGCAGUGGGGAAUAUUGGACAAUGGGCGCAAGCCUGAUCCAGCCAUACCGCGUGGGUGAAGAAGGCCUUCGGGUUGUAAAGCCCUUUUGUUGGGAAAGAAAAGCAGCAGGUUAAUACCCCGCUGUUCUGACGGUACCCAAAGAAUAAGCACCGGCUAACUUCGUG